GAUGAAGAACGCAGCGAAAUGCGAUAAGUAAUGUGAAUUGCAGAAUUCAGUGAAUCAUCGAAUCUUUGAACGCACCUUGCGCUCCUUGGCAUUCCGAGGAGCAUGCCUGUUUGAGUGUCAUUAAAUUCUCAAGACCUGUCUGCUUUUUUGAUAGGUAUUGGAUUUUGGGGGUUGCAGGCUGUUUCAAAUAAAUAGCCUUGCUCUCCUUGAAUGUAUUAGUGGAGAAAAGCCAUUGAACUCCAUUGGUGUGAUAAACCCUAUCAAUGCCAGGAGCAAUAUUACUACUUCUCUCUGCUGUCUAACUGUGACUGUCUGUAUUAAUUAGUAUGGAUGGGGACAACUUGACCAACUUGACCUCAAAUCAGGUAGGACUACCCGCUGAACUUAAGCAUAUCAAUAAGCGGAGGA
rnacentral:misc_RNA from 1 species